rnacentral:rRNA from 1 species
CCUGGUUGAUUAUUCCAAUAGUCAUAUGUUUGUCUUAAAGAUUAAGACAUGUAUGUGUAAGUAUGAACAAAUUCAAACUGUGAAACUGUGAAAGGCUCAUUAAAUCGGUUAUAGUUUGUUUGAUGGUAUUUACUACUCGGAUAACCGUAGUAAUUCUAGAGCUAAUACGUUCAACGAACCUUGACUUCUAAAAGGGAUGCAUUUAUUAGAUAAAAGGUUGACUCAGGCUCUGCCCAUUGCUACGAUGAUUUAUGAUAAGUCGAUGGAUUGUACGUCCAUCGUGCCGGCGACACAACAUUCAAAUCUCUGCCCUAUCAACUUGUGAUAGUAGGAUAUUAGCCUACUAUGGUGGUGACGAGUGACAGAGAAUUAGGGUUCAAUUUCGAAGAAGGAACCAGAGAAACAGCUACCACAUCAAAGGAAGGCAGCAGGCGCACAAAUUAUCCAAUCCUGACACAGGGAGGUAGUGAUAAUAAAUAACAAUACUGGGCUCAAUGAGUUUUAUAAUUGGAAUGAGUACAAUCUAAAUCCCUAAACGAGUAUCCAUUGGAGGGCAAGUCUGGUGCCAGAACCCACGGUAAUUCCAGCUCCAAUAGUGUAUAUUUAAGUUAUUACAGUUAAAAAGUUCAUAGUUGGACUUUGGGAUGGGCCGGUCGGUCCGCCUAUGGUUUGCACCAGUCGUCUCAUCCCUUCUAUCCUUGAUGCACUCCUGUCCUUAACUGGUUGGGUCGUGCCUCCGGUGUUGUUACUUUGAAGAAAUUAUAGUUCUCAAAGCAAGCCUACGCUCUGUAUACAUUAGCAUGGGAUAACAACAUUAUAGGAUUUUGGUCCUAUUACGUUGGCAUUCGGGAUUGGAGUAAUGAUUAAAAUGAACAAUCAGGGGCAUUUAUAUUUCAUAGUCAGAGGUGAAUUUAUUUGUUUAUGAAACAUAAACAAUUGCGAAAGCAUUUUCCAAGGAUGUUUUCAUUAAUCAAGAAUGAAAAUUAGGGGCUCGAAGAUGAUCAGAUACCAUCUUAGUCUCAACCAUAAAUGAUGUCGACCAGGGAUCAGCGGAUGUUGCUUUUAGGAAUCCGCCGGCACCUUAUGAGGAAUCAAAGUUUUUGGGUUCCAGAGGGAGUAUGAUCACAAGGCUAAAACAUAAAGAAAUUGAUAGAAGGGCACCUAUAGGAGUAGAGCCUGCAGCUUAAUUUGACUUAACACGGGAAAUAUACCAGGUCUAGACAUAGUAAGGACUGACAAACUGAGAGCUGUUUCUUGAUUCUAUGGGUGGUGGUGCAUAGCCGUUCUUAGUUGGUAGAGCAAUUUGUUUGGUUAAUUUCAUUAACGAACAAGACCUCAGCCUGUUAACUAGCUAUGCGGAGUUAUCCCUUCGCGGCCAGCUUCUUAGAGGGACUACAGUCUUUUAGGCCGUGGAAGUUUGAGGCAAUAACAGGUCUAGUAAGCGCGACUCAUCAGCUCGCGUUAACUACAUCCCUUCCCUAUGCACACACCGCCUGUCACUCCUACCGAGUAAAUGAUAUGAUAAAAUGUUUGGAUAAUGGUGACAUGGGUGGUUCGCUGCCCACGAUGUCGCUAGUAGUCCAUUAAACCUUAUCAUUUAGAAAAAAAGAGAAGUCGUAAUAAGGUUUUUGUACAUGAACCUGCGGAAGGAUCAUUG